ACUACUGAUGUUACCCAGUCCUGGCCAGCAGAACCCUGUAGGGAAGUUCUGAGAAGUUUUCCUCCCUGAUAAAAGAAACGCACUUGAAAAGCUGAAAAACUGCCUUUCCCCCUCUUUUCUAUCUUUGGAUGCUACUGUGUGAAGACACGAUGCCUUGAGCUGCAACAGCCAUCCUGUAACCACGAGCAGACAAGGCUGGGGAUGAAAGCCGACUUGCUGAGCAGGGAUGUAGAAAGUUGCAUGAGAACGUCAUGGGAAUGAGAAGAAGCAGGAUAACCAACAAAAAUCAGAGCUUUAUUAUUUAAGCUCAUCUGAGAGCUGAAAUCACAAAGCAAUCUAAUGAACCAAAUGCAGAUGGAAAUCAAGCCCUCCGAGGAAAGACGAGACCCAUGGCUAAUUCAUCUUUGGCAGGAGAGAGAGAGGAGGGAGCUCUCCUAGACACAGAAUCACCCUUGGAACUUUCUUCAUGAAGGGAAAUUCCCUACUGCAGCUCUACCAAACUAUUGUGAAUGGCUUGAAUUUAACUGACUGCAGAGUUGGCCAACCCUGCUACAUGGUUCUGACCAUGAUUUGAUUGCCAUUCCCCUCAACCUUAUUAUAAAGUAUAUCAGAAAUAGCAGGGAAUGAUCCCAGGUCCUCCAUCUCCCAUGGAAAACACUUGUUAUCACAUCUGGCUAUCUUUCCCACUACCUUUCUCAGUCAUUCUGUGGAGCAAACAAAUGCCACCCAGCUGGGGGUGAGGAUAAACAGCACAGAUUGGAGUAUCUCUCCUCAGAGGGUCUCACCAAAAACAUGGAAUAGACUCAACUACUUGAACUGAACUGGGAAGUGUAAGACCUACCAAUCAGCUAGGAGACUACAUUGGAGACACUAUAAUCUCCUUGACUCAUGUAGGUCCCACUUGGAGGGGCCCCAAAUUUGUAAGCAUCAUUUUCUUUCCAGGUAGCACAUGUGCCCCCGAAAUGAUGCUUUGUGCAUUGAAGCCAGCACUAACUUGCUUCCCUCCUGAAAAUACUGUGAUUUGUACCUUAGGAUAGUUAUAUGGGACCUUCAUGUAUUUAAGGAAAUGUAAUAAGUAGAUCAUGUAUCUGUCAGAUGACUGCAGAGACCUCUCCAAAAUGAGACUAUACUUGGUUACUUGAAAGGAUUCCCCAAAGGGAAAACUGUCUAAUUAUUUAUCUCUAUGAUGGAUUCAUCCAAUUCCAACUUGUAUGAUAUUUGUCCCUGAUUUUGGCUGAAGUAAUCAGUGGCAUCACUUUAGACCUGGAAGAGAUGCAAGUCUGCGUCAACUCACUGGUUGGCAUUGUAAUGGAUGAUAGAAUUGCACUAGACUUCCUCUUUGUAGGCCAAGACAGAGGUCUAUGUAACCACUAAUAUGUUAAGUUAUCCCUGAGCCAUGUGGAAAGGUCAAUACAGAAAUGGAAAAAGCCUCUGGAAUAUCAGGGUAUGCCCUGGUUCAGCUGGCUUGACUGAAACCAUGGGAAGAGGAGCAUGGUUGUGGUUAAUGCUGUAGGCUGACCUUAUCCUAGUGUUUGGAACCCUGUUCACAGUAGCCUUAUCAAAUGUUGUAUAAGAGAAAUAAACAUAUUUUGUUCUAACCUCUGUUGGUCAGAUUAAUCAGAGUAAUCAACAGGAUGUUAUACUCAUGGAAAAAUUUACCAGAAGCCAAUAUGGCAUAAAAAGUGGAGCUCCAUAUGAGUGGAAUAAUUCCCUGCAGGUUUCGUGUUUCCCUGUGCUAUGUGACCAGAGGCACUGACAGCCUUAGUAUCAAACUAUCUUUU